rnacentral:pre_miRNA from 1 species
GUGCACAUACAGAUGAUCCUCCCUGUAAUUUUCCACGGCUUUCUUGAACUGUGCAGUUUCCAGAAGAAUUAAACUGGCAGAAAUUUUUCAUGCAGAUACAAAAACAGUUCAAGAAAGCUGUGAAAAACCACCGGCAGGAUCUGAGUUGUUCAU